ACGGAUUGCUCCGUCGGCCCCGGCGUCUCCUCCGUCGGCCCCGGCGUCUCCUCCGUCGGCCCCGGCGUCUCCAGCGCCCUUCGGAUUUGACCAUUUGCGAUGUCCUCUAACAACGCUAACGCAGCCAUUUUUAAAACAAUUUUCUUCAUCCAUUGCGCAUGCUUUUAUAGCCACCCAUAUAAUUGCAAGGCUGAAAAUGCUGGCAAAAGUGGAAUAUGGGGGAGUCCAAAAAUACAUUAAAGUUCCUCAAACUGAUGACAAUUUCCAUUUCCUCCAGUUUCUUCAAGAAGCAACAGACAAAUUUAGUCUGCAGGCUCAACAUCUAUCCGAGGGUGUGUUAGCCUUGACUGAUGCAUCAGAUACCGAGGUUGAUGCAGACACAUUUGAUGAGCUGAUAAAGUCAGGGUUCCGAAACUUCAAGGUUGGAUACCGCAAGUACCCAGUAACGGAGUUGGACAUUGAAUUGGUGGAAUACAACUCGCAGUCCUCCGUAUUGUCAGACUCCACAGCAUCACCAGUUUCAUUGCCAGGACCCCCCGCAUCACCAGCUUCUACAAGUUCAGGUUCGACAAUCAUCCUCCCAUCCACUAAAAACCGGAAGAGAGGCCUGGUAGAGCUGGAACGUAAUGAAGCAAGACAGAAAUGACAGAUUCACAUGGGAGGAUUCCCCCCAGAAGUGUCAGGACUAGUUAUGCACUCGGAAUUGUGACCCUUUUCCCAUAUCUACAAGAUCCGUACUCAGAGC
ensembl:lncRNA